UCCCGAUAAAGGCAAACCCGGCGAAAGCGGGGACGCAAAGCUACAGGGGCUUCAGCGCGAACGAAGGCGCGCUUUGCCAGCCAGCUGCCGAA
rnacentral:ncRNA from 1 species